UGGUGCUGUUUCUCUGGAGAACUGUAACUAAUGCACCCAGUCUAUCCAAAAAAGUGUAGUUGAGGUUGAAAAUACUGAUAAUGAGGAAAAGGAUGUCAGUGCCCUUCAGCCAGAGGCCACCAGGAACACACGUGUGGUUGGCCUGCAUUACUUUGAGGGAGAAUGUACACCAUGGGGAACCGUGGAGUGUCUCUGUAAGAGGAUGUUGGGAAGAACCUAUUAUAGGGAACUAUAUUCAAUAUCUUGUAAUAAUCCAUAAUGGAAAAGAAUCUGAAGAAUUUUUACAUAUAUAUAUAAAUAAAUAAGUAUAUAUAACCGAAUCACUUUUCUGUAUACCUGAAACUAACACAACAUUGUAAAUCAACUAUAUUUCAAUUAAAAAAAAAGAGAGAGAAAGAACCUAUUAUAGAUUUUGGGCUUUGGGGUGAUGGAGAAGAAUCCAAGAAAGCAGGGGUUUAUCCUGGCUUGCGCACAAAAAAAAUGAGGACAGAAAGUGAGACGAUUCUAUGAUUAUCUCAACAAGUGUCUUACCUCUGGGGAGGGCUGUCUAGAGCAGGGAUAAAUCUGGAAUUGGUAAAGAAGCAGCAGUCACUCAUAUUAGCCAAGAGAGGGAGUGUUUGGAAUUCUGGGGGUGGCACAGUGACUUUGUUUUUCCCUGUUCUUGGACAAAGUUAUGAAGUGUCCCUGUUUUGUCUCACUUUGUCGUGGUCUCCGGGUGGCCUUUUCUGAUGUUGGUGUUCUGUGAGAUUGUUUAGGUCAUUUCCACUCCCCUAGUUCUCCCCCCGAACUGCACCCCUGGCCUGUCCCUCCACCCAGAAGAGAGCUGAAAGCUGAUCUAGGGGAGGCGGGGGGGGGGGCUGAGUCUCACUUGUGCAGAUGCGGGGGCCCUGGGAUCUUCUGAAGGGAGUAGCCCCUUGUCUAUCACAAGCUUUUCAAGUUCCCUUUGCAACUCCCUUUUAAAAAUCUCUCCUAUUCUGUAUUACCAAAAACCAAGCACGUCACGUAAUUCACAAAUUCAAUCCUUAAACCAACCCUAGAUUAUAAGUAUAGUAUUGUUUUCAUUUCGAUGAUGGGGUCACCACGGUACACACAGAGUCAACAACAAUAACAACAACAAAGCAAACCCAAUAACAAAGAGCCACCGUCUGCUCACCACUGAAAAGUCCCUCUCGUGCUUGAUCAUGUGGCCCAAUGUGUAUCCAUAUCUUACGGCAGAUUCGGAGGACUCCCUUUCCAGUCUGCAUACCAUUUCCGGAGUAAACUGCCAUUUGGCCGCGGAUCAAAACCCUGCCCUGCUCCCUACUGCCUAGAGAGUUAAGCCCAAAUGCAUUGCAUCAAGACUCUGGCCAGUUUUGAGUCCCUGCCUCGACUCCAUUGGUGUCCUUAGCCCUCCUUUUCCCCUAAGUGAGCUCUCUGCUGUGGCCACAGCCGCACUUUCAUUGCCUCCUGAACCCGUCAGAUGCAUUUCCACAUCCGUGCCACUCCCUCCAGCUGGACUAUUACCCUGCCUCCAUCCAGUCUCAGUCCCAUCUCUCCUUCUCAACUCAGGUCUGACUUCUUCUUUGUAGCUUCCCUGGCAGGUAUCCUGUGCUAUUUCAUAUUCUUAUGUAUGUUUUUAUGUAUCACCCUUGUUAUCCCAAUAGGACCAGUGGUGGAUUGUUUGCAAAACAACCACAAUAAUUUGUCCCCUGCCUAGAUGUGUGUCCCUCUGCAGCAUGACUUUCCUUGGCCACUUCUGCCUUCAAGAGGCAGAGUCUAUAUCUUGACUCUUUCAAAUCUGAGUUUGAUCCUAAAUGUGACUUGUUCUGGCCAGUGGAAUGUUAGAAAAUCCUGAGACCCUAUAAGGAGCCUGGGUUAGCCAGAGAAGGAUGAGAAAACACAAGGAGCAGAGAUGGAUCAUCCCAGCUGACCAACCAAAGACGAGCUGUCCUAAACCAAACAGCUUGCCAGCUGCCAAGUGUUUGAGAGAAGCCAUCCUAACUCAUCCAACACCAGUUAAGCUGUCCUGGACAGAAAAGCCAUCCCAGCCAACCCAAGGAAUUGUCAACAAACAAAAGAUGUUUGUUUUUACAUGCCAGUAUAUUUUGGGAUGGUUUGUUAUGCAGCAAAAGCUAAUGAACACAAGAUUCUAAGCUCCAUCAGAUGUUGAGGUAUGACCCACCUUACCUGAAUCCUCGGAAUCCAGUCUUGCAGAUGAUAGCUGGUCCUCAGUAAAAGUUUGUUUUUGACGAUAAAAAUGCCAGUAAAGAAUGAUGAAAGCUGGAGUUUGAAGGAGGCCAGGCCUAGCCUUCAGAGAGGAUGGAGAUCUGAGAGUAACUGGGAAAGCUGUUUCAUGCUUGAAACAUGGACUAAGCCAACCGGAUGAUAUCAGAGUUUCAGAUGUAAUGCAACUCUGUGUAGCUGGGUCCUGGGUGCCAUGUGCUCCACCGUCAACACCUCGGACUGCGGUCAAGGACAAAAGACUGCCUGGAUUCUCCGAAGGCUCAGUGACAUCCUGCCUGACGGCCAAGGGCCUGAUCAUGGCUCCCAGGUGGACUAUCGUGAUAAUAUACCCCACCGUGGAUUAUUGGGCACUGAGUGCUUUUUCGUUAAGUGCUCACAGUUUUAAACCCUAUUGUUUCUCAGUGACCUCAUUAGAUAGGAACCACUGAUAUUUCUCUUUCACAGAUGAGAAAUUGGAAGCACUAAGAAGUUAAGUAACUUGCCCAAGGUCACAUAGCUAAGGAGGAACAGACCUGGAGCUUGACCUCGGUGUUUUUGUUCUCAUCUUUCAUAAAGCUCACACCACUUUAGGCCCGGCCUGUUGAUAGCCCUAGGGAGACUGGUCUCCCUUCUUCCCCCCUGUUCCAGAGCUUCAGUGUCCUCGCAGCCCAGCACUUACUUGGGUGGUAACUGGCCUCCUGCUGUUUUCACUCUUAGAGGAUUGGAAAUCCUUCUGACACAACGCUUUACUUCUUGUUUGGUUUAUCUUUCCUAAAGCUCAAAGCAAGUAAGAGAGCCUGACCUGUUCCCUUCAGGCAGCUUCUGAAUGAGAGACUUCCAGAACUGUCAGCCAACACUCAGCUGACAGCAGCCCAGCUCCAGGCUGCAGGUGACUCAGGGAGAAUCUGGGAGGCUCACUGGCGCUCCUGUCCCAGUGCCUGGCAGUAGUCACUGCUGGCUGAGUGAGGGAGUUCCUGCAUCCAAGACCUGGGGAACGACCUCACCUGCCAGGCCAAUACCAGUCUUUUCUACUUUUAGUUACAGAAUAUUUUUAAAAAGAAGAAGAGAAAAACCUGGAGAGAGGUGAUCUCCAGCCCCUCCCCUUCCUUUAUUCCUCCCUCUGGGACCACCUCCCUCCCUCUCCCUUUCAGCCCACCGCUUUCCUUCUCCUUUCUUCCCCCCCACCCCAAGAUCUCCUCUCCCUCUAGUGGAGUCCAGCCUAUGGUAACUUCCCCCUAAUUCAGAUUGGUUUUCCUGUGUUACCAUGGCAACCCGCUGCUCCCAAGGAUUUUCAGCAGUCACUUUGCCCCUCUGUUUUUCAUAGGAAAUCUUUUUUCUACGUCUUGUCCUUCCCAACUCACCACUGCCAGUUUGAGCAAAACUCCAGCCCCAGGCUCUCCAAUAUUUUUAAGCAGCCAUAUCUCUUUUAUAUGAACUAAGUUGAUGUAUUUUGAAUAAUUUUAGAUGCGAUAUCAGUCAAUUUGGUUAAUUCCGAAUACAUCAGUACCGUUUUCUCCUUGGAGUGUAACCUGGCUUACUUAGUGAGGGGUGGACAAGUUGAAUUUGUACUUAUGCAGAGGCGUUGAUAGGAGCUGACUUGUGCAUACUGAGCAGGGAAGUGGUUCAAAUGCGACCAUUGGUGCCCCAGAGGGAAGGAGGGAGCAAACCAGGAGCCUGCCCCAAGAAAAUUGUCCAGUCCACAAAAAUACCCAGAACUCAGCAUCCUCUCCAAGCCCUUGCUGAGCAAAAGGUCCCAAAUGUGGUGCAAAGAAAAGAAUAUGCCCUCUGAAUAUAGGCAAAAUUGAGUGUUAUUCUCAACUCUGUUAAUGAACUAGCUGUGCUGUGUGAGCUUGGGCAGGUUCCUUACCCUCUCUGAAUCUCAGUAGUCUUUCAAAGUUAUUGGGAGAAACAAAUGGGCUAAUGCACGUUAAAGGGCCUAAAGUAGUUCUCGGCACACACUCAGUAGAAAGUAACUGCUGUAUUCCAGUUACUAGCAUGAGCCCUAGCACGAGCAUGAGUCCUCUGAGGCAGCAUCGAGGUUCAAAGCUGAGCACCAGAGGCAGAUACCAAGGUUACCACAUAAUCAGACUGCGCAGCUGGUAACCCAACCAGGUUCAUGGUCUGAACACCCCAAGGUUCAGGAUGGAAGUGGUCAUGAGAAGCUAAGGCGCCAAGACUCAUCAGAUGCUGUUACAGGAGCAACGUCCUUGAGUUGUCAGGAGGGGAAACUGACCCAGCAAAGGAACCGGACACUGCCAGCGUUCAGCAUCCUUUCCCCUUCUCCUUGUGUGUCAGGCAGGCCGGGAACUGGGAGCGGAACAGUGAAAGGGAGAGAAAAGCCAGGUCCCUGCUCAGCCCAGAAAAGAAGGCUGAGCACACACGAAAGGGGCCAUUUGACCUGAGCUAGUUCAACAGGACCCUUGAAUGUGGGGUUGGUUCCAAGCCCUGAACCUUCAACUUGAAAAAUACGUCGUGCAGAAGAUUCUUAAAUGAGUGCAUAACAGGAUGGACUGAAAUAAAAUGCUCAACCUAAAAGUUGAAAGUUAUAUUUUAUUCGGCAGAUUGUGUUAGGACGCAGCCCAGGACAUAGCAUCUCGGAUCACUCUACGAGGCUGUUCCAAAGCAGCAAGGUAGAAGCCAGGAUAAGUGAGUUUUUGCAACAAAGACCAGGUAGUUGGAACAUCAAAAGAUUACUGUUAAAGAAAACUAGAUAUCUCAAGUUAAGGGAUUUAGCGCUUUUUUAUGUCUGAGAAGGUGCAAAGGUCUGGAUUCAUUGAAAUCAUUCCUUUGAUAUGCAUCUAGCUCUCUAGGGUGGUGUCCUGUUCUGCUACAUCCCAAGUCCCCUCAGGGGGCACCGCUGGGGGUGGCUGCAGAGGCCGGGCUGCCUGCUUGUCUGCAUCCUGAGUUCCCUCUGCUCACUGUUGGGGGUGGAGGUAGCGGCUGAUGACUUGAUGGCCACAGCAUCCUUUGUUUACUGACACAGCUGCCAAUACUUUUCAUUCACGCUGGUGAGAAAUUUCUUGAUGUUGAUAACCACAAGGGCCAUGUUAACAGUGCUGUACCUACUAAGAGAUUAGAAUCUUCAAAAGCAACUGCUACCCCCUUCUAGGAUAUAGAAGAAAGGCUGGGAGAAGAUCGAGUAAGAUUAGUGGACCCUUAUUUGGAAGCUGUUUCCCAGGCAGAGGUAGCAGGCAGUGGGGCAGAGAAUCUGUUAGAAGGUGAUAGGCUGAUAUUUUAGAAGAAUCUGGAGGGGAGAUACUGUGGUUAAAGCCUCUCCUGAAGGUGGAGGAAGAAGGGAAGCCAGUUGAACUUGCAGAGGAAAAGGAACGCAGGUCUCAUGGGUUGGCCAGGAACUCCUCGGGUGGGAGCUGUGUGCACGCUCUUGAACAGGACUCUGCCCAGAGGCCGUCCCAGAGGAGCGGGACAGCCCAGCAGAAGUUCUUCCUGCGGUGGACCCAGGAGCCAGCAGGGAGUCAUAAGUGGCCACCUGGAGGAAGCACCAUCUAGGACAGCAAACUGCAGCUGGGGGUAUCCUGGCAAACUCACAGAAGAGAUUUAUGAGAAGAAAACUAGCAUUUGAACGUCACACAAAGGACACCGCAGAGGACACCAAAGCCAGAUGGCAAUCGUACAGAUCUAGUAAGAACUGUUCUCUUCCCCUCGUCCUCCUCUCUCCUUGAGCCAACCCUGGAGAAGCUAGAGGCAGGACGGGGCAGUAGGGGGGAACCAGAUGGGGAGACGGAGGAGGGAAAACUGGUCGUCCACGCCUGCCCUCACCCACUGCACGUCCCUAGCCAAGUAUGGUCUUAACUGGGAGAGGAGCUUAAUCCAGGUGAAAGAUAACAUUUUUUCUUUUUUCAGCUUUAUUGAGGCAUAACUGGCAAAAAUUAUAUGCAUUUAAGGUGUACAA